rnacentral:tRNA from 1 species
GGGGAUGUGGCUCAAGCGGUAGUGUGCUCACCUGGCGUGUGUGUGGCCUGGGUUCGAUCCUCAGCACCACA